UAAGCAGUUGGGAUCCAUCCAUGUCAAUUAUAAUCUGCCACAACAGUUGGCUGAGUGUGAUUAAUUAUUUUAAGAGGCCACUGUGGCCAAGCGCCUUCACAAGACCUUUGACAUCGCUACACAUCCUUCUCUCAGACUCACCGAUGACCUCAGCUUGAUGGCAAUUGGCUAACACACCAGGCACUCGAAAUGACAGAAAGCCCUCAUGAUGCAACACCAUGGCUCUGCAGUAAAUGGCAAUUUGUACCUUUCACUUUACUGAGCGAGGACACUCCUGUAAGCUAAAACAACAAUGACUGUCUGCCUAUAAACCGUACUUUGCACAGGAUCAAACGGUUUGGUGGUCUGUUUGAAAUUUUCUGCUGACGUACUUGGAAGUGUUUUGAGAUGAAGAUGGGUGAUAUAAGGAGUGAAACUGUGUCCAAUGAUGGAAUGUGUAAUACUAAUCAUCAUUUCAUCAAUUCAGUUUUAUUAUGUAUUGCGGCGGCAGCUCCCCCGAGAAGUGCUUUGCUUUCAAACAAGCCAUCUGAAACUAACUUUCCACGUAUUUAUAUUCAGGCGCUGACUUAACCAGGUAGAGAUCUACCUAAGAUGACUCUGAGUAAUUAUGUAGCAAUUACCCAGCCAAGUCAGUGAGCCAGUAGAAGAAGCAGUAAAACCAUUAUGGGGCUUUGACAGCUUCUCUUAAUUGAUUGAUGCACAGCAACUAACUGGUGUUUACUAUGCUGUGUGCUCACAUGAAUCAUCUCACAUGGGGAAAAAAAUGCUUUCAGCCACACAUCAUGCUCCGGAGAGCAUGAGCACGUGGCAUGAAAAUUCACAUGUAUCGGAAGGUGGUAAUGAAUCCACAAAUGUUAGAAUAUUAUCAUCAUGAUUGAUUGUUUGUGUGUGAGUGUAUUCUUGCAGGUAUGUAUUUAUGAAUUUGCUGGUCCAUUAUGUAUAAUAACUACAGAGGUUCCUGUCAGAACAUUUUGUCUCUUCGCUUGACUUCACACACUGACUAUUUUAUAAAAACCUGCAAUUUUCUUUGCUUUCCUUAAAUAGCUUUUGUCUCGGAGGACAAUGAUUACAGAAGCUUACCAAGCACAGCUAAAAUUGAUAAUUACAUAUAUAAAACAGGUAUGGCAUGAAGAUAUGGUUUUAGUUUGUCCCCUCUUGUUGAUGCUGAG